GUCUGAGCGCGCUGGGCUCGUCCCGGUGCCGGAAACGAGCGCUGCCCGGCGAGCGGCCUUGGGGACCCAGGGCUGGGGCCCGUGGCCUACACGAGGCCAGAGAUCCCCACUGGCCCCGAGAGGCCGCCCAGCGCUGGAGGUGCGGGCAGAGCUGCAGCCAAGCUCCCGAGGCGAUCUGCUGUUAGGCCACAACCUGGGCUCGCCUAGUGCCCGAGGCCCAAGUCGCAGUUCUCGUGAAAACGAAAAGGAGAUCGGCUAUGCCCUGGACACAAAGGAAGACCCGCGGGGUGGGUCUAGGGACAGUCCUGAAGCUUUAGCCAGUUUAAGGGGAAGGCGGGCAGCAAGGUCCCAGUCGGGCCCGAUUUCCCUCCUGUUUGAUGACCGGGCGACGAGGGAAACAAAGAUCCAGCCCGAGGGCGCGCCCCCCUUUCCCCUAAUAACCCUGCACCUGGGGGAGACCAGUGGAUACAACCUAUGAGGGCUUCUGGCGGGGUAGGGCGAAGCCGAGAUGUCCACCCCACAGGCCAAAAGCUCUUAAGACCAAAACGGUCUUUCAGGGCGCGGUUGCACGGUAGCACCCCCAUUUCCCAAACCGCAGAUUAAAACUGCGCGGGGUCCAGAGUUGGAGCGUGGAAGGGCCCGCAGGAGUGGAAGUGCGUACACCUGAUGCGGGACGGGAACUGCCGGGCGCGCACGGCUGCAGCCCCCACCCGCAGGCUGUUUCAGCCGGCAGCGUAUUUCUCAAUUGCCUGCGCCUGGUUUUUUGAAAUGUGCCGAAGCCGUGGCGGGAACCGGUCCCAAGGGCUGCGCAUGGCACCAGGAAUAAGCAGCCCGGAGGGGUUUGCAAAUCAGGAGGCCUUGCUGCAGACCCCGCACCCGGGCUGGGGGAACGGCAUUUCGGGCCUUGGUACCCGGAGUGUAGGAGCUGGGAGGAGAAAGACGUCUCUCCUGACUCCCAAAUCCCAUGAACUGAUUCGGCCCCGCACAGAGCAGGUUUCCGGUUUUGCACUGCCUCAGGGGACUGCUUACAGAGACCCCACGCAGUGAUCCCGUGACCCCUGUUGCUAGACAUCCAGAGGCUUCUGGUCCCUAAGUGCCAAGGUAGGCGUUUCUUGGGGCCCAGAAACGGCCUAGCCAGGGGCAGGUGGCAAACGCCAGCACAGUCUCAGCACCUCGGGACCUUAGGCGCUGCCUCGCGCAACUUCUGCGCCCCAAUCCAUGCCUGAGAAGAAACCCUGAGCCCCGAACACGCCGGAAGUUUCCCCAGCGCGUCUAAGAGGCUUCGCCUGCUGGAGGGCCCGAGACGCAGCAAAGAAGAGGCUCCGGGAGGAACUUGGGAUCGUACGGACACGCAACCACUUCUGGGAUUAAGCGCGGAAGACGUUUCCUAAAUGCCCUGAAUCCCCGUUUGCCUGGUAGGCCACCUCCAAACUCAGAGUCACUAAACACCAGAAAAGCUGGUGGCCACCGAAACCCAGCUCUGUAAAGAAGAAAAACCCAGACGUAAUUGGGUGCUAGUACUGAAGACCAAGUGCGCACAGAAAACCGCAGACCGUGCAGAGGCCCAGGGCGGAAGGGAUGCGGGCAGCGGACAGCGACUCAGGCAGCAGCCGCGGAGUCCCCAGCGGUUUAGCUCCCCAGCCGGAGGCUCUCCGCGCCGUUCCUGGAUGAAGAGAAACGCCUGGCGUUCCCGGGUGCGCGGUUCCCGUUCCCAGGCAGCUCGGCGGGCAUUCGGCUCGCAGCCCCGAGCCUUCGCGGUCUGAUUUGGGAGGCCUGCGCCCUGGCAUUUGCAUAUUCCCGGGAACACUGGGAGGCCUGUAAUUUUCUUUUUAAAAUCGUUGGGCAGGGUUUAGGGCCAAUGCUUCCAAAACCCCGCCGAGUUGAUGUCGUCCUUAAACUCUCCCUUAAGAGAAGGGGACUGGCCUAUUCUUCUGACUUUUUUAGAAAAGGUGACUCCUGGGGCUGCAUAUUCAACAGGGGGGAAAGCUGAUUGUGAACCAGGCUGUGGGGGGAGAGAGGGGAGAGUGGAGGGGGAUGAGGCGCGGCGUAGGGGGGAAAGGAGGGAAGGCAAGUCAUCUCUGGAAUUCAAUUGUUUAAAAAAAUCAUUUAUAAUUAAAGGGACAAAAUAAAAUA